AAGAAAGCCUUUCUGCGCAGAAGAUGAGGAAGAAGUUGUGCCUAAGAAAUUAAAACCCUCUGCCAAACACACAGAAACAAAAGCAACUAAAGAGGUCCAGCAAGUUAAAGAGAGUCCAGUCAAACCUAAAGAGAAAAAAGUGACCUCUGCUUUUGAUUUCUUUGGUUCAACUUCAGUGGAAAGGGAAUCCAGGAAAACAUUUGCUAAUAAA